UUUGAGAAUAUUUUUGCAGGAACUUUCAAAACUUCAUGACUCCAUGUCUAAGUUAUAGAGUUUGUAUUAGGAUUGUGAGAAAAAUGUAAUUUUUUCUUUUAUUGGAUCGAUCAUGCAGGAGAUUGUCGUUUGGUGAUUGCGCCAAUCUUCUUUUUAUUGUUUCUGAGUUGUGCACGAGCGUUGUAAUAUAUUUUGUCACGAAAUCGCCAAAGGGGGAGAUUGUUAAGGAUUUUUUAGGUUGACGGAUUUCGUAAA
rnacentral:lncRNA from 1 species